rnacentral:rRNA from 1 species
UACGGCGAGUGAAGCGGCAAAAGCUCAAAUUUGAAAUCUGGUACCUUCGGUGCCCGAGUUGUAAUUUGGAGAGGGCAACUUUGGGGCCGUUCCUUGUCUAUGUUCCUUGGAACAGGACGUCAUAGAGGGUGAGAAUCCCGUGUGGCGAGGAGUGCGGUUCUUUGUAAAGUGCCUUCGAAGAGUCGAGUUGUUUGGGAAUGCAGCUCUAAGUGGGUGGUAAAUUCCAUCUAAAGCUAAAUAUUGGCGAGAGACCGAUAGCGAACAAGUACAGUGAUGGAAAGAUGAAAAGAACUUUGAAAAGAGAGUGAAAAAGUACGUGAAAUUGUUGAAAGGGAAGGGCAUUUGAUCAGACAUGGUGUUUUGUGCCCUCUGCUCCUUGUGGGUAGGGGAAUCUCGCAUUUCACUGGGCCAGCAUCAGUUUUGGUGGCAGGAUAAAUCCAUAGGAAUGUAGCUUGCCUCGGUAAGUAUUAUAGCCUGUGGGAAUACUGCCAGCUGGGACUGAGGACUGCGACGUAAGUCAAGGAUGCUGGCAUAAUGGUUAUAUGCCGCCCGUCUUGAAACACG